UUAUGACCAUAUCACGUUGGAAUACCACUUCUCAUACGAUCACCGAAGUUAAACAACGUCGAGCCAACUCAGUACCUUGAUCGGUGACCGCUUAGGAAUACUUAG